AGAGUUGGGAAUACCCGAAGCCUGUGAGCUAACAUAUGAGGCAGCAGUCGAAGGUAGAAUCAAUGAUUGGGGUNAAGUCGUAACAAGGUAGC
rnacentral:rRNA from 1 species